ensembl:lincRNA Gm13001 predicted gene 13001
CCCUUCUGCUUGUGUCUAAUCUCCAUUGCGGACGUUAAAACCAUGCAAUGACUGAAGAAAAAGGCAAGCAUCUGCGGCUUCGAAGCAAGAUACUCAACCACAGCUGAGACUUUCUUUGUCUACCCCCCACUCCCGCCUCGAGGGAGGCCCACGUGAAGAAGAUGCAGAUUUCCAGAGCCAUAAAUUAAGGGGCGAUUAGUCACGUUGCAAUCUUUCUUCAAAGGAUUCUUUAAAGGCUCCUUCAUUGAAGUGUUUACAGCACAGUAACUUGCAGACUGAGAGGCUGGGGUGGGGGUGGGGGUGCCAUCAGGGGAACAGCCAGAGAACAGAGAAGACACUGGGAGAAAAGUUGGGAAGGCCCUCCCACGGGAGCCACCCUGCGGAGGACCUGACAGACAAGAUUUCAUGGAUUCAGCAGUGGGUCGCCCAGCACCCGCUUGGUGGUGCAUGUAUCCCCGCUGCUGGGGAAGUGAAUAGAAGAAUGAAAAACCAGCAGUGCCAUCUCUUCUCCCCCUCUUUUUCCUGGAACUCUGAAGUUUGGCUUUUGUUGCAUUAAUGACCCCUAAGUUCCCACCUCAGUUUCUGGGAUCAAGUCCCUUAGCCACUCAGCACCUUGGCCCACUGGGCAGCCGGCUGACAGUGAGGGCUGAGCUCACGUGGCAGCUGUGGGGGGCUCAAUGGAGUCUCUUCUGAAGGUGGAGACAGGUCUGCUGGAGCCCAGACUCACCCCCUCUGGGGCCAUUACACAACCUGCUGUCACUUCCAGCUUCGAGU